CUGGAAAAGCUCAGAAAGGUUUCUUGGAAGAGAUCCAAAUGUUCUCAAAAUCUGGAAAAGCAGAGGAUGGGAAAAUUCUUCCAACGAAUGAUGCCAAGUAAGGGUAUAGCACUUCCUGCCAAAAGUCUCCCAAGUAAAUAAAUUGCACAGAACCCAAGCUCUUGGAUCUGGACAAAUGUUUCCAAAAUGCAACU